UCUGGCUCAGGACGAACGCUGGCGGCGUGCNUAAUACAUGCAAGUCGAGCGCAGGAAGCCGUCUGAACCCUUCGGGGGGACGACGGUGGAAUGAGCGGCGGACGGGUGAGUAACACGUAAAGAACCUGCCCAUAGGUCUGGGAUAACCACGAGAAAUCGGGGCUAAUACCGGAUGUGUCAUCGGACCGCAUGGUCCGCUGAUGAAAGGCGCUCCGGCGUCGCCCAUGGAUGGCUUUGCGGUGCAUUAGCUAGUUGGUGGGGUAACGGCCCACCAAGGCGACGAUGCAUAGCCGACCUGAGAGGGUGAUCGGCCACACUGGGACUGAGACACGGCCCAGACUCCUACGGGAGGCAGCAGUAGGGAAUCUUCCACAAUGGACGAAAGUCUGAUGGAGCAACGCCGCGUGAACGAUGAAGGCUUUCGGGUCGUAAAGUUCUGUUGUAAGGGAAGAACAAGUGCCGCAGGCAAUGGCGGCACCUUGACGGUACCUUGCGAGAAAGCCACGGCUAACUACGUGCCAGCAGCCGCGGUAAUACGUAGGUGGCAAGCGUUGUCCGGAAUUAUUGGGCGUAAAGCGCGCGCAGGCGGCCUCUUAAGUCUGAUGUGAAAGCCCCCGGCUCAACCGGGGAGGGCCAUUGGAAACUGGGAGGCUUGAGUAUAGGAGAGAAGAGUGGAAUUCCACGUGUAGCGGUGAAAUGCGUAGAGAUGUGGAGGAACACCAGUGGCGAAGGCGACUCUUUGGCCUAUAACUGACGCUGAGGCGCGAAAGNCGUGGGAGCAACCAG
rnacentral:rRNA from 1 species